CACAUGCAAGUCGAGGGGCAGCAUGAACUUAGCUUGCUAAGUUUGGUGGCGACCGGCGCACGGGUGAGUAACACGUAUCCAACCUGCCGAUGACUCGGGGAUAGCCUUUCGAAAGAAAGAUUAAUACCCGAUGGCAUAGUUCUUCCGCAUGGUGGAACUAUUAAAGAAUUUCGGUCAUCGAUGGGGAUGCGUUCCAUUAGGUUGUUGGCGGGGUAACGGCCCACCAAGCCUUCGAUGGAUAGGGGUUCUGAGAGGAAGGUCCCCCACAUUGGAACUGAGACACGGUCCAAACUCCUACGGGAGGCAGCAGUGAGGAAUAUUGGCCAAUGGACGAGAGUCUGAACCAGCCAAGUAGCGUGAAGGAUGACUGCCCUAUGGGUUGUAAACUUCUUUUAUACGGGAAUAAAGUGAGGCACGUGUGCCUUUUUGUAUGUACCGUAUGAAUAAGGAUCGGCUAACUCCGUGCCAGCAGCCGCGGUAAUACGGAGGAUCCGAGCGUUAUCCGGAUUUAUUGGGUUUAAAGGGAGCGUAGGCGGACGCUUAAGUCAGUUGUGAAAGUUUGCGGCUCAACCGUAAAAUUGCAGUUGAUACUGGGUGUCUUGAGUACAGUAGAGGCAGGCGGAAUUCGUGGUGUAGCGGUGAAAUGCUUAGAUAUCACGAAGAACUCCGAUUGCGAAGGCAGCCUGCUGGACUGUAACUGACGCUGAUGCUCGAAAGUGUGGGUAUCAAACAGGAUUAGAUACCCUGGUAGUCCACACAGUAAACGAUGAAUACUCGCUGUUUGCGAUAUACAGUAAGCGGCCAAGCGAAAGCGUUAAGUAUUCCACCUGGGGAGUACGCCGGCAACGGUGAAACUCAAAGGAAUUGACGGGGGCCCGCACAAGCGGAGGAACAUGUGGUUUAAUUCGAUGAUACGCGAGGAACCUUACCCGGG
rnacentral:rRNA from 1 species